GCUUAAUUAGUAUAAAAAGUAUUAUAGACUUCCAAUCUAUUGGUCCAAAUUUUCAGGAUUAAGCA
rnacentral:tRNA from 1 species